rnacentral:rRNA from 1 species
UACGGAGGAUCCGAGCGUUAUCCGGAUUUAUUGGGUUUAAAGGGUGCGCAGGCGGGAGAUUAAGUCGGCGGUGAAAUUUUGCAGCUAAAACUGUAAAAGUGCCUUCGAAACUGGUUUCCUUGAGUGUAGAUGAAGUAGGCGGAAUUUGUGGUGUAGCGGUGAAAUGCAUAGAUAUCACGAGGAACUCCGAUUGCGCAGGCAGCUUACUAAACUACUACUGACGCUCAGGCACGAAGGCGUGGGGAUCAAACAGGAUUAGAUACCCUGGUAGU